ACGCGAAAGGGGCCUUCGGGCCCCGAGUAGAGUGGCGCACGGGUGAGUAACACGUGGGUAAUCUACCCCCGGGUGGGGAAUAACGACCGGAAACGGUCGCUAAUACCGCAUAACGCAGCGGCAGCUUCGGCUGACAGUUGUUAAAGCGGGGGACCGUCUUCGGACGGCCUCGCGCCUGGGGAGGAGCCCGCGGCGGAUUAGCUAGUUGGUAGGGUAACGGCCUACCAAGGCUCCGAUCCGUAGCCGGCCUGAGAGGGCGGUCGGCCACACUGACACUGACACACGGGUCAGACUCCUACGGGAGGCAGCAGUCGGGAAUUUUGGGCAAUGGGCGAAAGCCUGACCCAGCAACGCCGCGUGAAGGAUGAAGCUUUUCGGAGUGUAAACUUCAUAAGAAUGGGACGAAUAAGUGGGGGAUAACACCCCCCAUGAUGACGGUACCAUUUGUAAGCUCCGGCUAACUCCGUGCCAGCAGCCGCGGUAAUACGGGGGGAGCAAGCGUUGUUCGGAUUUACUGGGCGUAAAGGGCGCGUAGGCGGCGCAACAAGUCACUUGUGAAAUCUCCGGGCUUAACCCGGAGCGGCCAAGUGAUACUGUCGUGCUAGAGUGCGGAAGGGGCUACUGGAAUUCUCGGUGUAGCGGUGAAAUGCGUAGAUAUCGAGAGGAACACCUGCGGCGAAGGCGGGUAGCUGGGCCGACACUGACGCUGAGGCGCGAAAGCCAGGGGAGCGAACGGGAUUAGAUACCCCGGUAGUCCUGGCCUUAACGAUGGAUACUUGGGUGUCCGGG
rnacentral:rRNA from 1 species